rnacentral:rRNA from 1 species
UACGAAGGGUGCAAGCGUUACUCGGAAUUACUGGGCAUAAAGCGUGCGUAGGUGGUGAGUUAAGUCUGUCGUGAAAGCCCCGGGCUCAACCUGGGAAUGGCGAUGGAUACUGGCUCGCUAGAGUGCGGUAGAGGAGAGUGGAAUUCCCGGUGUAGCAGUGAAAUGCGUAGAGAUCGGGAGGAACAUCAGUUGCGAAGGCGGCUCUCUGGACCAGCACUGACACUGAGGCACGAAAGCGUGGGGAGCAAACAGG